GAUGAACGCUGGCGGCGUGCCUAAUACAUGCAAGUCGAGCGAACGGACGAGAAGCUUGCUUCUCUGAUGUUAGCGGCGGACGGGUGAGUAACACGUGGAUAACCUACCUAUAAGACUGGGAUAACUUCGGGAAACCGUAGCUAAUACCGGAUAAUAUUUUGAACCGCAUGGUUCAAAAGUGAAAGACGGUCUUGCUGUAACUUAUAGAUGGAUCCGCGCUGCAUUAGCUAGUUGGUAAGGUAACGGCUUAUCAAGGCUACGAUGCAUAGCCGACCUGAGAGGGUGAUCGGCCACACGGGAGCUUGGACACGGUCCAGGCUCCUGCGGGAGGGAGCAGUAGGGAAUCUUCCGCAAUGGGCGAAAGCCUUACGGAGCAACGCCGCGUGAGUGAUGAAGGUCUUGCGAUCGUAAAACUCUGUUAUUAGGGAAGAACAUAUUUGUAAUUAACUGUGCACAUCGUGACGGUACCUAAUCAGAAAGCCACGGCUAACUACGUG
rnacentral:rRNA from 1 species